rnacentral:lncRNA from 1 species
UAAUCUUUAUAGGAAGCAUCCAAAAUAUAAAAUUUAAUUUAGAAAUAUUUUUCAGUUUGCAUAAUACCACUCUACCAAACCAAGAAAUCUUUAAUUUCUGAUAAUCUUUUAUCCUUCCAGUUAUCUCUCUUUUUUAAUCUAUCCAGAUUUAUUUUAAUUAUAUCCUCUAAGUUCCAAGUACUGUUACUUGGAACUUACAGGUGCUCUCAAGAUUAAGACAAGGCAACCAGCUGUCAGGGUAAUCAGUCAGGAUUUUAUCACAGGAGCCAUUUUAGAGAGAAUCACCUGGGCAUACCACAGAGCAACACUGACUCCUGUUGUAAUGUCCUUGUGACAUAUAUGUUCACUCCUGUGCAUCCACAUUUUCAGGAACUUGGUCGGAAACUGUACUGCUAUAAGACUGAAGAAACGUUAAGAAGAUUAUGUGGCUAUUCCAUGCCAAUUGUUUUAGUGCCAAUGUUGUUUUAAACCAGAGGAAUGCUGGCACAUCUCUUUGAAGGCCAGGUGAACCAAAACAGGAUCUGUGAACUUGAAUGCAGAUGGCCUGCCUGUUUUUGCAAUUUCUUUGAAGGCGCAUGGAAGAAAACAAGGGAUACUCCUUUCUGAAUGUCUCCACAAUUCAUUUUGAGAUCUGGAGAUGUUACAAUGGCAUUACAAGAAGGCACUGUAGCAGAUCUGUAGAAAGCAACCGCUCUGUGUAUUGUCAUGAUUCACACAGUUAGACCUGUGGCUAUGAGGGAGGUUGAAAGAGACAAC